UGGGGAAUUUUGCGCAAUGGGCGAAAGCCUGACGCAGCGACGCCGCGUGUGCGAUGAAGGCCCUUGGGUCGUAAAGCACUGUCAACAGGGACGAAAUCAUCGAGGCGAAUACCUUCGAUGUUUGACGGUACCUGUAAAGGAAGCACCGGCUAACUCUGUGCCAGCAGCCGCGGUAAUACAGAGGGUGCAAACGUUGUUCGGAAUUACUGGGCGUAAAGCGCGUGUAGGCGGUUCGUUAAGUCGACUGUGAAAGCCCAUGGCUCAACCAUGGAAGUGCAGUCGAUACUGGCAGACUGGAGUCCCGGAGAGGGUGGUGGAAUUCCUAGUGUAGAGGUGAAAUUCGUAGAUAUUAGGAGGAACACCGGUGGCGAAGGCGACCACCUGGACGGGUACUGACGCUGAGACGCGAAAGCGUGGGGAGCAAACAGGAUUAGAUACCCCCGUAGUCC
rnacentral:rRNA from 1 species